rnacentral:rRNA from 1 species
GACGAACGCUGGCGGCGUGCUUAACACAUGCGAGUCGAACGGAAAGGCCCUGCUUUUGUGGGGUGCUCGAGUGGCGAACGGGUGAGUAACACGUGAGUAACCUGCCCUUGACUUUGGGAUAACUUCAGGAAACUGGGGCUAAUACCGGAUAGGAGCUCCUGCUGCAUGGUGGGGGUUGGAAAGUUUCGGCGGUUGGGGAUGGACUCGCGGCUUAUCAGCUUGUUGGGGGGGUAGUGGCUUACCAAGGCUUUGACGGGUAGCCGGCCUGAGAGGGUGACCGGCCACAUUGGGACUGAGAUACGGCCCAGACUCCUACGGGAGGCAGCAGUGGGGAAUAUUGCACAAUGGGCGGAAGCCUGAUGCAGCAACGCCGCGUGCGGGAUGACGGCCUUCGGGUUGUAAACCGCUUUCGCCUGUGACGAAGCGUGAGUGACGGUAAUGGGUAAAGAAGCACCGGCUAACUACGUG